CAGCAGCCACGGUAAUACAGAGGGUGCGAGCGUUAAUCGGAUUUACUGGGCGUAAAGCGUGCGUAGGCGGCUUCUUAAGUCGGAUGUGAAAUCCCUGAGCUUAACUUAGGAAUUUCAUUCGAUACUGGGAAGCUAGAGUAUGGGAGAGGAUGGUAGAAUUCCAGGUGUAGCGGUGAAAUGCGUAGAGAUCUGGAGGAAUACCGAUGGCGAAGGCAGCCAUCUGGCCUAAUACUGACGCUGAGGUACGAAAGCAUGGGGAGCAAACAGGAUUAGAGACCCGCGUAGUCCCUGUCUCUUAUAC
rnacentral:rRNA from 1 species